GACGAACGCUGGCGGCGUGCUUAACACAUGCAAGUCGAACGGAAAGGCCCUGCUUUUGUGGGGUGCUCGAGUGGCGAACGGGUGAGUAACACGUGAGUAACCUGCCCUUGACUUUGGGAUAACUUCAGGAAACUGGGGCUAAUACCGGAUAGGAGCUCCUGCUGCAUGGUGGGGGUUGGAAAGUUUCGGCGGUUGGGGAUGGACUCGCGGCUUAUCAGCUUGUUGGUGGGGUAGUGGCUUACCAAGGCUUUGACGGGUAGCCGGCCUGAGCGGGUGAGCGGGGAGAGUGGAAUUGCGAAUCGGCCCAGAAUCCCACGGGAGGCAGCAGUGGGGGAUGGUGCACAGUGGCCGGGUUCCUCAUGCAGUCACGCCGCGUGCGAGAUGACGGCCCUCGGGUUGGAAAACGCUUUCGCCUGUGCCGCAGCGUGAGUGACGGUAAUGUGUAACGGAACACCGGCUAACUACGUG
rnacentral:rRNA from 1 species